UUUUAAUUGAAGACCUGUAUGAAUGGUGGGAAGAGGGCUUGAUUGUCUCUCCCUUUCAAGUCAAUGAAAUUUGUCUACCCGUGCAGAACGGGGGUAAGAAUACAAGACGAGAAGACCCUUUGUAGUCUUAAGAUGCAAAAAUCAACUAUGUCAAGAACCAUAAAAAUAGUUAAACUAAAUAGUAUCUAGAUUCCAAUCUUCGGUUGGGGCGACCACGGGAGAAAAUUAAGCUCCCAUGAGGACCGGGGUAAAACCCCUAAACUAAGAAAUACAUUUCUAAGCCACAGAACAUCUACCAUACAGAUCCGGACACACCGAUCAACGAACCAAGUUACCCUAGGGAUAACAGCGCAAUCCCUCUCCAGAGUCCAUAUCGACAAGGGGGUUUACGAACCCUCCAUGGUUGGGGUCAGGACAUCCUCAUGGUGCA
rnacentral:rRNA from 1 species